UACGAAGGGGGCUAGCGUUGCUCGGAAUCACUGGGCUUAAAGGGUGCGUAGGCGGGUCUUUUAAGUCAGGGGUGAAAUCCUGGAGCUCAACUCCAGAACUGCCUUUGAUACUGAGGAUCUUGAGUUCGGGAGAGGUGAGUGGAACUGCGAGUGUAGAGGUGAAAUUCGUAGAUAUUCGCAAGAACACCAGUGGCGAAGGCGGCUCACUGGCCCGAUACUGACGCUGAGGCACGAAAGCGUGGGGGAACAAACAGG
rnacentral:rRNA from 1 species